CUUCAAUAAUAAUUUAAAAGAAUAGAUAUUUUUAAAGCGGCUGGCACAAUUUUGAGCAAAAUAUAGUAGUACGUAAUAUUUUGUUGAGGUCAAAUUCUUGGGGCAAUCGGAUGACCCGAACUGGCAUACCAAAUCGAAGAAAUUGGGUGGCUACGGUUGGGAAGCGCGUUUUGGAGCUGUCAAGCUGUCGCACAUACCAAAUGGAUGUAGAUCAGGCCCCGGCCGUUCACUUCGAAGAGGGAAUAAUUAUGAACAUCCUUAUCAGGUUACCUGUGCGAACUCUCCAUCAAUUCAAAUGUGUUUCAAAGUUUUGGAAUGCAUUAAUCUCCGAUCCUUACUUUAAGAUGAAGCAUUUCAAGCAUGCCAAGAAUGACCGAAAUUCCCAAAAAUUCCUUAUUUACCCACAUGCGCCAGAAUGGAAGUAAAUUUUCCAGCUACUGUUGUUCUUUAUCGCCGGUUCAAAUGGCUGAG